AGAUCCGUAUUUCCUCACUACCAAACCCUAGCUCUACCAAACCCUAACCCGGGCUCUGGCAAACCCUAGCGGCGGUCACAAGAUCGAAUCCAGAGGAGGACAAGAAGAAAAAUGCGAGAUUAAAUUCUUCCCGAGUUGACCGCGAUUGCGCGAUCAACUCUCUAGCCGUGCGGAGUAAUAAAUAUAUGGCAGACAACCUGUUUUGCGGAUAAAGAUCUGUGGGCUUGAUGCACUCGGGCGCCGUCGUCGUGUGCAGGGAGCGGGCGGAGGAGGAGAGGGAGAGGGAGAGGGAAGAGGAGCAGCUAGACGAGACCACUCCGCCGGAAGAAACUCAACAGCCGCGCAUUUUGUCUGUCCUUUCGUGUGUCUUACAGAGGCUAGUCUCAAGGAACGACCAGUACGUCCCUCCCGCAUACGCAGACAAGAAUCUCACUGUCUUCCACGGCGUCCGCGCUCCCUCUAUCACUGUUCCCAAGUACCUCGAACGCAUCUUCAAGUAUACCAAUUGUAGCCCCUCCUGCUUCGUUGUAGGAUAUAUUUACAUUGACCGCCUCGUUCACAGACAACCGGAUUUUCCAGUCACUUCUCUAAAUGUUCACCGCCUGCUCCUUACCAGCGUUAUGAUCGCUGCCAAAAUGCUCGACGAUGCGCAUUAUAAUAAUGCAUUCUAUGCUAGAGUAGGCGGCGUAAGCAACACGGAACUCAACCGUUUGGAGCUGGACCUUCUCUUCCGUCUGGACUUCCGGUUGAAGGUCACUGGGAAAAUUUUUGAAAGCUAUUGUUUGCACUUGGAGAAGGAAACUAAUGGACAGAGAAUAGAGAGGAGUCCAGGCGUUUUCAGGCCAAUUACUGGGGUUUCAUCAGAUACUGAAUCUGUAAAACAUGAUGAGUCCAAGGUUCAACAAGUUGUUCAUUCUCCUCGUCCUUCUGUGACGACAAUGGUGGUAAGAGACCAUCCUGAACCUCCCAGCCGGUAAAUGACAAAGGCUGUUCAUAUGAUUGGAUAAAGACCAAGCAAACUGUAAGCAGUUUUGUAUAUAAUUCUUUGCAACCAGGUGAAAUACAGGUCCAGCUCCCUCAUCUCCUAGAAGUUGAGUGCAAAAAAGCAAUGGCAAUUUGAUUGGAGUAUGGAGGGCAUUUUAAACUUAAGAUGUAACUUAUGAUUCUUCCCAAUAUGAUGAAUAUGUGUUAAUUUUACCUAGUCGUUUUAUUUUUUGAGCUUUUCUUGGCAAAUGGUUGGAGUGACCGUAGUCUUUAUACCUUGCAAGUAUUUAUCUGCCCUCCAAGAUCAAGAAAAUAAUUAAUAGCAUGUUUUGUUCAGUAUUGAGACAAGCACAUCCUUUUUUAAAAGAGCGGACAGGUUUAGUCUCAGUGAACCCUAUGAUUUACUAUACAUACCGUCUUCUAUCCAGUGACACAGUGAUGGUCUAGGCUUUAGUCAUAAGCAUGGUUUAAAAACUCAAACUCGGGAAUAAACUUGUUUGACCCAAAAAAUUUAAAUUCUUGGGACUAAGCAAUAGCUUGGCAAAUUUAUAGCAUUUAAAAAUAUAUAAUUUUAGAAAAAUAUUCUUUAAAACACACA